AGAGUUUGAUCCUGGCUCAGGAUGAACGCUGGCGGCGUGCCUAAGACAUGCAAGUCGAAUGUCCGCAAGGACAUGGCGAACGGGUGAGUAUAACUCAGGAACUUUUUCAUAGUUGGGCAUAACCCCGCGAAAGCGGGGAUAAUAUCCAAUGUUAUCGUAAGAUAAAAGUAGUAAUACGCUAUGAGUGAGGCCUGAGCACCAUCAGCUAGUUGGUAGGGUAAUGGCCUACCAAGGCGAUGACGGUUAGGGGGCCCGAGAGGGUGAACCCCCACACUGGGACUGCGACACGGCCCAGACUCCUACGGGAGGCAGCAGUUUGGAAUAUUGGACAAUGGGCGAAAGCCUGAUCCAGCGACGCCGCGUGGAGGAUGAAGGUCUUCGGAUUGUAAACCCCUUUUGCCGCCGAACAAUUUUUGAGCGUAGGCGGAGAAUAAGAGGUUGCUAACUCUGUGCCAGCAGCAGCGGUAAUACAGAGACCUCAAGCGUUAUCCGGAAUCAUUGGGCGUAAAGCGUACCGAUAGGUGGUUUUACAAGUCAGAAGUGAAAUUCCAAAGCUUAACUUUGGGUCUGUCUUUUGAAACUGUAAAACUAGAGGGGCAAAGAGGAGGCUGGAACAAGCGGUGUAGUAGUGAAAUGCGUUGAUAUCGCUUGGAAUACCAAUAGCGAAGGCAGGCUUCUGGGUGCCACCUGACACUGCUAGGACGAGAGCGUGGGUAGCGAAUGGGAUUAGAUACCCCAGUAGUCCACGCUGUAAACGAUGUACAUUAGGCGCCAGGGAGUAUCGACCCUCUUUGGUGCCAAAGCUAACGCGUUAAAUGUACCGCCUGGGGAGUACGGCCGCAAGGCUAAAACUUAAAGGAAUUGACGGGGACCCGCACAAGCGGUGGAGCAUGUGGUUUAAUUCGACGAUAAGCGAGGAACCUUACCAGGUCUUGACAUGCAGCUGCAUAUGUUAGAAAUAAUAUAGCCUUCGAGGGUGCUGCACAGGUACUGCACGGUUGUCGUCAGCUCGUGCCGUGAGGUGUUCACUUAAGUGUGAAAACGAGCGCAACCCCUACGGUGAGUUACAAGUGUCUCACAGAACUGCCGGCGUUUAAGCCGGAGGAAGGUGGGGAUGACGUCAAAUCAGCGUGGUUCUUACGACCUGGGCCACACACGUGCUACAAUGGGUAAUUACAAAGGGACGCCAAGUCGCAAGACGGAGCAAAUCCUGCCAAACUUACCCUCAGUUCGGAUUGGGGGCUGCAACUCGCCCCCAUGAAGCUGGAAUCGCUAGUAACCGUAGAUCAGCCUCGCUACGGUGAAUACGUUCUCGGGUUUUGUACACACCGCCCGUCACACCAUGGAAGUGGGCAAUAGCUGAAGACUCUUUAUGGGUUUAUGCUAGGGCUCAUAACUGGGGUGAAGUCGUAACAAGGUAACC
rnacentral:rRNA from 1 species